rnacentral:lncRNA from 1 species
GGACAGAUCUUAUGCUGCCAUUUUGUGUAUUUCCAGUUCAUGCAAGCUAAUGCUAAUUAAACACACGAGAGCCCAAGGCCUGGCCACUUAUCGGCACAAAGAAAACACGGGGACCCUACUCUCCCUCUUCACAUCAAUGCCGACAGACGCGUUCAAAGGCAAAGUGCUCUGCUGCAAAUGUGUCCUCCACAGGCAUCAGUGGGAAACAGUACUGCAUGAUACAAAUCAAUGGUCAGCUUUGGCAUACGUUAGACACACACACACACACACACACACACACACACACACACACACACACACACACACACACACACACACACACACACACAACAGAAGUUUUAGUAUUUUUGCAUAUUUUAUGAGCAACACAGGUAGGAUGGCCUUGGGUAAUCCUGCGCUUCCAACGAGUUGGAAAAUGUUCUCUUUAUGUUUAAAACAUGCAAAUGAUCUACAAAGCAUCAAAAUAAGGAACUCUUGCAGACUUCUGGCCAUGACUAAUGAGCCUUGUCUUUGUUUAGUAUGUGGUGUGUUUAGUUGUCAAUGGAAGGCUAAGGAAAGGAAGCAGGACAUUGGCUCAGGAAGGUGCUCAAAGCCUGAACAUGGGCCUGGCUCAGACCGGAGUAUUGAACAGGAAGUCAGCUCAUUAUGGAUGAUGUGAUUCUGUUGAUGGCGACAGCCCAGGAUGUUGUAGUGGACCUUCAAGUUACUCCAAGGCAACGGUGAUGUUUAAGUGUGUAUCCUGUUCAGGAACAUAGCAUGUAGAGAGCAUGGCCUGGUUGACAGGGCAAGAUUCAACCCUUAUAUGUCCCAAGUGCAUGUUUUGCACAGACAGGUGUAUUUUUAUGAGUAGCUUUGGCUACGCUACUGUAAUUUAUCUAUUUUUUGGGGAGAAUGUGUAUUUUUGGGGGAAACAUAAAAAAUAAUUUUAAAAAUCCUCUACUCUAUUUACUAACACUGAAAUCAUUUUGUAGCGUAGCUGCCCCAAGUGCAUUUUUUGUGCCAUUGACUCGCAUGCAAAUAUUUUUUUCUAAUAAGCCUAAAUAUUAGCAUAUAAAUAUUUUUAUUAUACUGUCUGGGUUCCCAGGGCAGUUGCAGACUCAAUUUUGACUUUUUUAUAUUUUCCACUAGAUUGUGCUUUUUCUUUGUGUUUACCGGGGAAAUCACUAAAGCUGCGUACAAAUAUUUUAUUAUAUUUUGUGAGGACUGAAGUCAAGGACAAAAUUCAUGUAAAAAUAUUUGGAAGUCAUCAACAGGUGUGGCACCCCGAUCCGGCCAGAAGGACACAUGACCCGUGCCAUAUGUACUUUGGGCCAGAUUUUAGCCACCAUUAUUUUUCAACAACUGGACAUCAUUGUUUGAAUGCUGUUAAGCAUUUAGCUUAGUCCUGAGAACACCCAACAGUCUGUCCGUCCGUUGCUGGCUGCGGUGUAAUAUCUGAGUACCGGGUUGAGCUUCUGUUCCUGAUAUGGGAGACACAUUAGAAUGAUCAAGUCGUCCAGCUGGUCCUCAAAAGUCCCUCCAAUGCCUGUGUAGACUGGUUAAGAUUUGUCACCAUUCUAACCAGCCAUUAUUUAUCAUCCUCAUCCCAACAUGACACAUAGGCCCACUUUCAUUGCAUAAAAUUGGCCCAAAUGACGCCAUUGAUUGGGGGGGUAGAUGGAUGGUGGUCAGACAGCCGUUUAAUGUGACCAGCCCCCCCUCUCCUCCCCCUUCUCUGGCCCGUGUCAGCCUUUAGAGCUCACAGUAAAUCAGAGUCCACGGAAGGCAGCAUAGAUCACCGCUAACAACCUCCCAUCAACAAGUAGACGAGCACCGGGUAAAUACCACAGCAGACAGGAGACUUUUCUUUUAAUAAACACGUUUCUCUGUUUUGAUUUAUCACAGCAAAAAAAGGCCAGUCUCUAAAUGUCAGCUAAUGCACAAACAACAUUGACUGUUUCCCGUUUUUAUUUGAGUGAAUAUAUUUUGAAAUCAGUGUUUCAGAGAGCGGUUCAGUCACAUCCGCGUGUUUUAACUCUGUCUGCGCCGCUUUUGUGCGGCUCUGGGAUUGUGUAAUCGCUCUGACUGACAACACCAUUCAGAACAUUAGGCUUUGUGUCCUUGAGAGAUUUCAGCCUCUUUGUAAAACUCGUCUGUGUAUCCUAGUGUUCAAGAAACAUCUCAAGAGAUUGUCGAAUUUGAGAAAACAUGGUCAAAAUCAAAAGAAGGCAUAAUAUCCCAAGUUUUAAAUUCAGAUCAUAUUGAUUUUUAAGCCUGGCUGAUUGAAUUACAUCAGAAACGGGAGCCUAAAUAAAUAAAAAAAACCUUCUGCUGAUACAAACCGCUCACACGGGACAAUACCAUCAAAUACCGCCACUCAUCCGAGAUGUGAGGAGAACGCCUCUGAGAGUGGAAAAGGAGAUCUUUAGCUGAGGGUUUCUUUUUGUUUUCCUUCACAAGGCUUCCAUUCCCUCCUCUUGAAAGGCAAUAAAAACAAACCGUGUAUGUUAGUGGGCGGGGGGUAUCAUCAAUUUAUCUUGUUUAUGGAGGCGACAGGAGACCGCUCAGCUAUUGUCUCUGCCUCUCUGCCACGAUUGGUACAAAGCUCAGGACAAGGAUUUAACCAGCUCCAUCUGCCUCCUCCUGCACUCCCCAUCCGGCUCAUUCCUUCAGUCCGCCGUUAACGUGCACGCUGCACGCCUGUCCCAUUCUUCCACACCCAUCGUGUGCUCUCUCCCCCUGCACCUAGCCCAACCCGUCUUUCUUCAUUGACUCUGGUAUCUCAAUCAUUGACUUCUCUGACCCUCUGACAGCCUUGACUUGACAUUCAGACACCGUGUUCAGCUCCUGUUUGUCUCAGUCAACACUGCCCGGGGUAUUUGAUCCAUGCACAGACUUCCGAUAAGCAGCACGGCGAGUCCUGUCCACCUCUGUGAGACAUCUAUGAUUUAAACUGGCAAGAAUCUAAAUCCUUUCUCUGACACCGGUGAGCUGAUGCAACCUGUUUUCUGUGUCAGAGGACAAGAGUUUUAGAGCCAGCAGCUUGAGCCCUGGUUUACCUGUACUUUAUGUGUCAGUGGUUAUUUUCUGUGAACUAACUACCAUGGAUGGCAGCGCGAUCAAGGCCUCGUCUUUCAGAGUGCAGCGAGGGUUCAAGGAACUUACGCUCAGGUUUCUCCCUCCUGUCACCUUUAACGUUGUUCGUUUCAAAAAGGAACAAUUAAAACUAAAGUCCUCAAGGACCACUAUCCAGCAGUUUCCUCAGUUCUUUUCUGAAUGUCUGUUGCUCGCCGACUCGGAACACAGUCAGUUUUAAAACUUGUAUUUUGUGCAUGCACACUAAUGUGAUACGAGAGGAAGCGAUGCACCAUGAGAAGGUAUUUCUGCACCGUGAGCGAGUAAAACAGUUUUUGUGUCCACCAAAUCGUGCACACGAACCCAAAGGGAAAACCAACCGCGGUGUGCAAGUGAGAGUAGCAGCAGAGACUUUUGGACAUACACAUUGUUUUAGUCAUGCAUGAGUAACUGGUACCAGGAAGGUGCACCUCUGCACACACAGUUGUGUCCUCAGCACAAACACAAUGAGACAGCCCAAUCAGCUGCUGGUGUCGGGUUUCAAGGAGCUACAAGAGAGGGAGUGGUGGGGAGGAGAGACACAUAGAGCACAAUUGGCCCUUUUCACGUGACGUCACGCCACUCAUGUGACUCCCCCUUCGCCAUGAUGGACAGCAAAAAGACCGUUUACACCCACUGAAACUCCAGUGAAGCUAGUCAAAACAAGCCAGUUUGUAGCCUUUUAUCACUUUUAUUUAGUUGAUUUGACAGUAAAAUGGUUUUAUCUUGCUGCGUGGUUGGCUGCACUAAGAGACAAGGGCGUAAACUCAACUCUUUUUUUUUUUGUUUUUUUAAGAACUUUGAUGGAGACUGAGGACGGAGACGAACUGCAGCGAUCAAUCAAGCGGACUAGCAGCCCUCAGAUUUGCAGCGAACAUGUUUUUACCGGGUAAGAUUAACGUUCAUUUAUUUCACGAGGAAGACAGGGACAGGGAUAAAUGUGAUGUGUUUAUACAAGUUAUUGAUUAUAUUGAUGGAUGGGUAUUUCACCACGGAGGCUGUGCACCGUCCACUGUAGUGUAAAGCGAGAUAAUUAUUAACAAUAUUAAAGCUCUGAUGUAUACGUGUGUUAAAAUUACGUUAUUUAUUUAUAUGAGCGUCACCGUUCAGAGAUCUUCUCAUUCCGGUGUGAGAGCAGCAGCUGAUCCGGGUAACACCACCAUCAACAAGGGAUCCGGACUUUUUAACAAUCAGCUUUGGUGUAAAGUGAAACGCUGUUUAUAACAUAAAGUUAUAAAUCCAGAGGGGUGAAUUCAGGCAAAGUCAGCAACAUGUUUACAUCGGUGAACAGCUGCAGAGAGAACGUAAGCUAACGUUGGUAAGCCCUGGCUAGAUGCGCUACUUCUUCUGCUAACUGAACUGGGCACGAACUAGUUGAAGGAAUGCUGGAGUUUUGUUUUGAUCACAAAAACAAUUUCAGGCUCUACUUUUCCCUUUGUUUAGUACUCGUGUCGCUGACUGUUUACAUGCUUUUGCCGUCCACCAUGUUGGACCCACGUGAUUAGGUGACGUCGGUGCAAAGGGUCAAUAUGGAGGGACCAUGGAAGAGUGGUUUCUGAGCUAAACUGCAGGAAAAGCAAGUGUGUGAAAACACCCACACAUCACCCAUGGUGGGGGCCCUCAAGGACCAAGGUUUGAGUCCGCUGGCUUUAAGUUUAAUUCUGGAUGACUUUGUCACCAAAGCACAGCGGCAGUGAUUGUACGUGCUUGUAGACCGACUAUAAGCAGUUUGCCAUCUGGGCCAGUGCAGACCGGGCUGGGUAUGUUAACACACACUCCUCAGGAACGGGGAACCUCCGAGCAUGUGGGCGGUACAGAGACCUGCCGCAGUUUCAGUCAGCGGCAACGUUUACUUCUCAGCAUCCAGAAUGAUAAAUCGCGCAUGUGGGAAGCCCCCGCUGGCUGAUUCUGUCUGCCAAUCAGAGGCUCCCCCUAAUGGUAGGUGUGUAUUUGAGCCAGCCAAUCAGUUGUAGUGGGCGUUUUGGCCCGGACCAGCCCUGAGUGGACCACUGGAGGAAAAGCAUCGACAUAUAAAUAUUGGACAAUUGGUUUCCAUAGACUCCAAUAACACAUUUUUGAAGAUAAAUGGGAGGUGGCCACCACCGCCAUUUUGACCGUGUCACAGGUUCCGUCAAGCCCAGACAAUUCUACAAAAUGGAAGAGAGGUGGAGCUGAGGGUGGGGCUGUGAGGCUGAGAUCAACUGACGACACCCGGUCGAACUAGCUACAAGCUAACCUGAAGCUAACCCAAAGCUAACCCAAAGCUAACGCGGAGGUGGUAGCUAAGCUAACGGAGGUAGCAACCUAGCUACAACCGGAGUUAACUGUGCACAACACCAGAGCUUCUGAGUCAGAAAUACGCCGGGCUGACCGCUGGGUAAAACCGGGUGGAACACAGAGGUCUCCCGAAAGCUGCUGAAAGCCGGCAGCCCG